ensembl:lncRNA
CGGGACUACAUGUGAGAUAUCAGGGAACAUAAUGAGGUUUUGUGUCAACUUAAUGCCGGUUUUAACCUUGGCUAAGGAGACUGAGCAGGAGGAGGAAGACGAGAAAGAAGAAAGCAACACCUCCAUGAGUCGACAGGAAACAGAAACCAGCAGCAGAGACCCAUCUGUCAGCAAACUAGUGGAACAGAAACAAAACGCAAUUGACCUCCAGUCAGGAUUAACCUCAGAGAGAACAACCAAACCAAGACUCUCACUGACUUCUCCAUUUCUGCCGCCGCCUAUAAGCGAACCAAAACCAUUUGAUCAGAGCUCAGGCUGUCUCACUCCUCUGCCUGCCAUCACUGUGCAUCAACAAGCAACAACCAGCUCUGCAAAGCUUGGAGCAGAAGGCUUUGGAGUCAGUGGAGCAGUUACAGUGCAGGCUUCAGACAUCAGGCCCUGGAUAGACAAUCCCCUGUUCUCCAAGAGUAGAUCAGCUGAGGUUCAGCUUCCUGACAUCACCUUGUCCAGCCUGAAUGCACUGCUGCAAACUGUCACAUACAGACUGAGGAAGAAGAGGAGAGGGGCCAAGGAAGGACUAUGGAGACAAGACCGGUCUGAUCAGCUCCUCGUGGCCUUUACAGAUCAGUGUCGGGCAGCAGGAUGGGAAGCGGGGCAGCGUAUGAGCUGGAAAAGACAGAUCACCUGGUGCCUGCGGGGUAAACAGACAGAUGAGCCUCCCUCCACUUCAUCCUGCACCCAAAGCGCCGCUCAUCUUCCUCAGGAUGAUGCAGCCAAACCACCUGACUGCUCAGAUGCCGCAGUGACUGAACAGCCACACAUAACUUGCAGUGUUUGAAAAUUGUGCUGCAGGUCAAAUAUUUUUAAUUUUU